rnacentral:lncRNA from 1 species
CCAGCUUCCUCCUCUUCCUCCUCCAGCUCCAACUGCAGUGGCAAGGUCUGGGGAUUGAGAGGCCCGGCAUGACUAAGAGAUAUCGUGAAAUUACAACUCAACAAUGAAUUACAGCACAGGCUUUUCACAACUAAGAGACUGUCCAUCAUGGUGCCAGUUUUUCUCAAAAUGGCAUGUGUGCAUGAAAUUCUACAGGCAUAUGGGGUCGUGAUCUGCUAAUCUCCAGUUAUUAUACAAAACUACAGAUACUUGAAAACAGAACCAAAUAAAAAUUCUAGCAGAAGAAGACAAUAUAUGAAAUUUAAUAAUUCAUUUCCUGGGAAUGACAGCAGAAAGGUGAUGACAGAGGAAAGAGCCAAUAAAAUUUGAAGACAGACUACUUUGAAAAGGGACUUUCCAGCUAUCAGUACACUAUCUCACAAUUACCCUUGAACCAGAAGACAAUGAAUGAUUUGCUAAACAGAUGGCAUAGUCUAUGACAUGCAUCAUAUGUGUGAGCAAUCACAGAAGACCAAAUUAUGAUUGUAUGUCCCAGAAAUUCACUUAGAAGCUAAUAGAAAAAAUGAAACCAAAGCCUUUUGAGAGUUGAAAAUUUAUCAUGACAUAUGCUGGCUGCACAGUCAAAACUUAUCACUGCCCACGACUUCGGAAGCAUGACAGGAGAGCUGUGGGAGCCACUUCCUCGUCAGACGUGGUUUGAUAUGUCAAGUGAGAACCUGAGUAAAGCAAAGAGCCUCCUGCCCUGCAGCCUGUUCUUCUGUGUCCAGGAUUGGUUCCCUCCGGUGGGUUCUUGGUCUUGCUGACUUCAAGAAUGAAGCUGCAGACCUUCGCGGUGAGUGUUACAGCUCUUAAAAGUGGCAAGGACACAAAGAGUAAGCAGCAGCAAGAUUUAUUGUGAAGAGUGAAAGAGCAAAGCUUCCGUGUAAUGGGACCCGAGCAGGUUGCUCCUGCUGGCUGGUGGGGGAGGGGGGGGUUGGCCAGCUUUUAUUCUCUUAUUUGUCCCCACCCAUGUCCAACUGAUUGGUCCAUUUUACAGAGCGCUGAUUGAUCCAUUAUACAGAGCAUUGAUUGGUCCAUUUUAUAGAGUGCUGAUUGGUCCAUUUUACAGAGUGCUGACUGUUGCAUUUAUAAUCCUUUACUAGACACAGAGUGCUGAUUGGUGCAUUUAUAAUCCUUUAGCUAGACACAGAGUGCUGAUUGCUGCAUUUUUACAGAGUGCUGAUUGGUGCAUUUACAAUCCUUUAGCUAGACACAGAGCGCUGAUUGGCGUGUUUACAAUCCUCUAGCUAGACAGAAAAGUUCUCCAAGUCCCCACUCCACCCAGGAAGUCCAGCUGGCUUCACCGGUCACUUCCUCAAACCCAGUGUGGAAUGUGGUUACUUUUUUAGUUUGAAGCAGCUCCUGACAGACCCUAGGAACUUUAUAGAUGAAACUGAGUGAUCUUUCCUAAUUACCAUGCUAAAGUCUCCACCCUGAGAGAAACUAUAGCAUCAUUACCAUAACAUGCGACCUAUGUGCUGGCAUAAUGACUCGCUGCAUUCCCGCCACUGGGACCCCUCCUCUACAUGUGAUGAUACACCCUGUCCCCUCUUCAUUGCCCAGUGAAGCCCUACUGUCACUUUCCCUCGGGGAGACACCACUUUGGAGAUACUCCCAGCUACUCCGGAGGCUGAGGCGCGAGAAUCCAGAAUUGCUUGAACCUGGGAGGCAGAGGUUGGAGUGAGCUGAGAUCGCAAUCGCACCACUGCACUCUAGCCUGGGUGACAGAGUGAGACUCCAUCUCAGAAACAAACAAUCAAAUACUCCUACUAAUUAAAACCUGCAUUCUCAUGGACAGUUGUUUGCUGCUUUCCAGGCAAACGAACCCUGGUUUUACAGGGAACACAACCUUGAUUGCAUUUAAUUGUGAAAGACCCUGUGGACAUGGAAAUAGCAGGGUUGUCCUGGAAAGUACAAAAGGAGAGCCUGAACCAAAAGAAAGCAAUCUGAGAAGAGGCGCAAAGAAGCAAAGGUAAACUGACAGUAGCAGCGGACAUUUGAAUGCAAAUUUAUUUAAACUAUAAAUUAAUUAGAAAUAAAAUAUUUGAAAGUAUUUGAUUAGUGCUACGAUUGUUUUAGGUCUCAGUUUACAACUAAUCAAAAUAAUACUAAUGUUCAAAAAUUAUCCAGGUAUUCAGAUCUUUU